rnacentral:lncRNA from 1 species
GAAAAGCAGAUAAACUGGAGAACAGGGAGACACCCUAAGCGCCUUUUGCCUGAGGUUUGGAAGCCAGUCAGCAGAGGAUGUUUACACAGACAUCUGAGCCAGAGUGGACAGCAGGGCAGACCCAGUGCUUUUGGACCCUAUGGAACUUCUGGCCAUUUGAAUCCAUGUAAGUGUCAAGGACAAGAAGAUGUACUCAUUACAUAAACCUUGAG